rnacentral:rRNA from 1 species
UACGUAGGGCGCAAGCGUUGUCCGGAAUUAUUGGGCGUAAAGAGCUCGUAGGCGGUUUGUCGCGUCGAAUGUGAAAACCCGGGGCUCAACUCCGGGCCUGCAUUCGAUACGGGCAGACUAGAGUUCGGUAGGGGAGACUGGAAUUCCUGGUGUAGCGGUGAAAUGCGCAGAUAUCAGGAGGAACACCGGUGGCGAAGGCGGGUCUCUGGCCGAUACUGACGCUGGAGGAGCGAAAGCGUGGGAGCGAACAGG